CGGGGGAAGUCCGGCCUUGGUUGGAAUUGGUUUGGAACAAACCAAAUGGAUCCCCCUUAAUCCCCAACUUACCCCCGGUCCUGGCCGGCCAGCCGAAAAGGUGGUGGGGAAAAAACCUUCCCGGCCAUUAAGGUGAAGGAAUGGUUAACCUCCAAAGGCACCCUGGCCCCCUUAAUGGAAGGAACGGGGGGACCCAUAAGGUGGACCAAAACCGGAACUUUGGCCAGGCCGGUGGAUUUGGCCAGGAAUCCAACCUUCAAAACUAACUCCAUUUCCGGUUGGCAACUCCACAAGCCGCCCAGGCCCAAUUACCAAUCCGAAGAAAUUUCCAAUAACCGGA
rnacentral:rRNA from 1 species